rnacentral:tRNA from 2 species
AUUAGCUCAGCUGGUAGAGCAACUGACUCUUAAUCAGUGGGUCCCGGGUUCGAGUCCCUGAUG